rnacentral:rRNA from 1 species
UUAAGCGACUAAGCGUACACGGUGGAUGCCCUGGCAGUCAGAGGCGAUGAAGGACGUGCUAAUCUGCGAAAAGCGUCGGUAAGGUGAUAUGAACCGUUAUAGCCGGCGAUGUCCGAAUGGGGAAACCCAGUGCAAUUCGUUGCACUAUCGUUAACUGAAUACAUAGGUUAACGAGGCGAACCGGGGGAACUGAAACAUCUAAGUACCCCGAGGAAAAGAAAUCAACCGAGAUUCCCCCAGUAGCGGCGAGCGAACGGGGAGCAGCCCAGAGUCUGAAUCAGCUUGUGUGUUAGUGGAACGGUCUGGAAAGUCCGACGGUACAGGGUGAUAGUCCCGUACACCAAAAUGCACAGGCUGUGAACUCGAAGAGUAGGGCGGGACACGUGGUAUCCUGUCUGAAUAUGGGGGGACCAUCCUCCAAGGCUAAAUACUCCUGACUGACCGAUAGUGAACCAGUACCGUGAGGGAAAGGCGAAAAGAACCCCGGCGAGGGGAGUGAAAAAGAACCUGAAACCGUGUACGUACAAGCAGUGGGAGCACCUUCGGGUGUGACUGCGUACCUUUUGUAUAAUGGGUCAGCGACUUAUAUUCUGUAGCAAGGUUAACCGUAUAGGGGAGCCGCAGGGAAACCGAGUCUUAACUGGGCGUUAAGUUGCAGGGUAUAGACCCGAAACCCGGUGAUCUAGCCAUGGGCAGGUUGAAGGUUGGGUAACACUAACUGGAGGACCGAACCGACUAAUGUUGAAAAAUUAGCGGAUGACUUGUGGCUGGGGGUGAAAGGCCAAUCAAACCGGGAGAUAGCUGGUUCUCCCCGAAAGCUAUUUAGGUAGCGCCUCGUGAACUCAUCUUCGGGGGUAGAGCACUGUUUCGGCUAGGGGGUCAUCCCGACUUACCAACCCGAUGCAAACUACGAAUACCGAAGAAUGUUAUCACGGGAGACACACGGCGGGUGCUAACGUCCGUCGUGAAGAGGGAAACAACCCAGACCGCCAGCUAAGGUCCCAAAGUCAUGGUUAAGUGGGAAACGAUGUGGGAAGGCACAGACAGCCAGGAUGUUGGCUUAGAAGCAGCCAUCAUUUAAAGAAAGCGUAAUAGCUCACUGGUCGAGUCGGCCUGCGCGGAAGAUGUAACGGGGCUAAACCAUGCACCGAAGCUGCGGCAGCGACACUAUGUGUUGUUGGGUAGGGGAGCGUUCUGUAAGCCUGCGAAGGUGACCUGUGAGGGUUGCUGGAGGUAUCAGAAGUGCGAAUGCUGACAUAAGUAACGAUAAAGCGGGUGAAAAGCCCGCUCGCCGGAAGACCAAGGGUUCCUGUCCAACGUUAAUCGGGGCAGGGUGAGUCGACCCCUAAGGCGAGGCCGAAAGGCGUAGUCGAUGGGAAACAGGUUAAUAUUCCUGUACUUGGUGUUACUGCGAAGGGGGGACGGAGAAGGCUAUGUUAGCCGGGCGACGGUUGUCCCGGUUUAAGCAUGUAGGCUGGUUAUCCAGGCAAAUCCGGAUAAUCAAGGCUGAGGUGUGAUGACGAGGCACUACGGUGCUGAAGUAACAAAUGCCCUGCUUCCAGGAAAAGCCUCUAAGCAUCAGGUAACAUCAAAUCGUACCCCAAACCGACACAGGUGGUCAGGUAGAGAAUACCAAGGCGCUUGAGAGAACUCGGGUGAAGGAACUAGGCAAAAUGGUGCCGUAACUUCGGGAGAAGGCACGCUGGUGUGUAGGUGAAGCCCCUGCGGGUGGAGCUGAGACCAGUCGAAGAUACCAGCUGGCUGCAACUGUUUAUUAAAAACACAGCACUGUGCAAACACGAAAGUGGACGUAUACGGUGUGACGCCUGCCCGGUGCCGGAAGGUUAAUUGAUGGGGUUAUCCGUAAGGAGAAGCUCUUGAUCGAAGCCCCGGUAAACGGCGGCCGUAACUAUAACGGUCCUAAGGUAGCGAAAUUCCUUGUCGGGUAAGUUCCGACCUGCACGAAUGGCGUAAUGAUGGCCAGGCUGUCUCCACCCGAGACUCAGUGAAAUUGAACUCGCUGUGAAGAUGCAGUGUACCCGCGGCAAGACGGAAAGACCCCGUGAACCUUUACUAUAGCUUGACACUGAACAUUGAGCCUUGAUGUGUAGGAUAGGUGGGAGGCUUUGAAGCGUGGACGCCAGUCUGCGUGGAGCCAACCUUGAAAUACCACCCUUUAAUGUUUGAUGUUCUAACGUUGGCCCCUUACCGGGGUUGCGGACAGUGUCUGGUGGGUAGUUUGACUGGGGCGGUCUCCUCCCAAAGCGUAACGGAGGAGCACGAAGGUUAGCUAAUCCUGGUCGGACAUCAGGAGGUUAGUGCAAUGGCAUAAGCUAGCUUGACUGCGAGCGUGACGGCGCGAGCAGGUGCGAAAGCAGGUCAUAGUGAUCCGGUGGUUCUGAAUGGAAGGGCCAUCGCUCAACGGAUAAAAGGUACUCCGGGGAUAACAGGCUGAUACCGCCCAAGAGUUCAUAUCGACGGCGGUGUUUGGCACCUCGAUGUCGGCUCAUCACAUCCUGGGGCUGAAGUAGGUCCCAAGGGUAUGGCUGUUCGCCAUUUAAAGUGGUACGCGAGCUGGGUUUAGAACGUCGUGAGACAGUUCGGUCCCUAUCUGCCGUGGGCGCUGGAGAAUUGAGGGGGGCUGCUCCUAGUACGAGAGGACCGGAGUGGACGCAUCACUGGUGUUCGGGUUGUCAUGCCAAUGGCACUGCCCGGUAGCUAAAUGCGGAAGAGAUAAGUGCUGAAAGCAUCUAAGCACGAAACUUGCCCCGAGAUGAGUUCUCCCUGAGACUUUAAGUCUCCUGAAGGAACGUUAAAGACGAUGACGUUGAUAGGCCGGGUGUGUAAGCGCAGCGAUGCGUUGAGCUAACCGGUACUAAUGAACCGUGAGGCUUAACCUU